GCCUUAGUAGCUUAGACAAAGCCCUGGUCUUGUAAGCCAAAGUCGGGACCUAACCACCCCCUAAGACA
rnacentral:tRNA from 1 species